GACGAACGCUGGCGGCGUGCUUAACACAUGCAAGUCGAACGGUGACCCAGGGCUUGCCCUGGUGAUCAGUGGCGAACGGGUGAGUAACACGUGGGCAACCUGCCCCUGACUUCGGGAUAACUCCUCGAAAGAGGAGCUAAUACCGGAUACGACCACUUCGGACAUCCGAUGGUGGUGGAAAGUUUUUCGGUCAGGGAUGGGCCCGCGGCCUAUCAGCUAGUUGGUGGGGUAAUGGCCUACCAAGGCGACGACGGGUAGCCGGCCUGAGAGGGCGACCGGCCACACUGGGACUGAGACACGGCCCAGACUCCUACGGGAGGCAGCAGUGGGGAAUAUUGCGCAAUGGGCGAAAGCCUGACGCAGCGACGCCGCGUGAGGGAUGAAGGCCUUCGGGUUGUAAACCUCUUUCUAGCAGGGACGAAGCGAAAGUGACGGUACCUGCAGAAGAAGCACCGGCUAACUACGUGCCAGCAGCCGCGGUAAU
rnacentral:rRNA from 1 species